UCUGCGUUUUUAUGAUUUAUACGUUUUAACGUUGCGAGAUCACCACGUUCCGGACUGUCACAACAAAAGUCAGUGCGUGUCCCCAGCAGAGCCAACGGGCUCGACUCCGUCGGGUUGGAACUUACCGGAGGUUCAAAACAGCUGGAAAAAUGCACCGAGAGGAGAAAGAAAACAAAUGGAGGGAAGAGAAGAAAAACCAGUAGUUUGCUUCUUGCCUCACUAAAUGAGCAGCACUUCUCUCCAGCACAGGUGAAACAGAAAAGACCACAGUAUGGAGCUGGAGAAAGCAUGGAGCAAGCACGGAGCAGCAUGGAGCAAGCACGGAGCAGUAUGGAGCAGCACGGAGCAGCAUGGAGCAAGCACGGAGCAGCAUGGAGCAAGCACGGAGCAGUAUGGAGCAAGCAC